ensembl:rRNA 5S_rRNA 5S ribosomal RNA
GUUUACGGCCAUACCAGCCUGGGUAAGCCCGAUCUCGUCUGAUCUCGGAAGCUAAGCAGGGUCGGGCCUGGUUAGUACUUGGAUGGGAGACCGCCUGGGAAUACCAGGUGCUGUAAGCU